UACGUAGGGCGCAAGCGUUGUCCGGAAUUAUUGGGCGUAAAGAGCUCGUAGGCGGUUUGUCGCGUCUGCUGUGAAAACUCGGGGCUUAACUCCGGGCCUGCAGUGGGUACGGGCAGACUAGAGUGCGGUAGGGGAGACUGGAAUUCCUGGUGUAGCGGUGAAAUGCGCAGAUAUCAGGAGGAACACCGGUGGCGAAGGCGGUUCUCUGGGCCUGUACUGACGCUGAGGAACGAAAGCGUGGGGAGCGAACAGG
rnacentral:rRNA from 1 species